rnacentral:lncRNA from 1 species
CUGAGCAAAAGUUCUCCUCAGGUAGUAGGUCUUCAAAGCUGCUAUAACUCCUUAUCCAUUGGUUGGAUCAAAGAGGUUGUGUUUGGAGGCAGAAACUCCACAUUGAUGUUGGGAUGAAGAUCAUUCAUAAAAGGACGAUGUGCCAGAGCAUUGUCAACAGUAUUUGUUUCCAGAAUAGAAAGGUUUCAUCCACAAUGAAGAUUUUCUCUGAUCGUGGCUGUGGUGGAGUGGGGCAUGCCUGACUGAAAGAAAACUCCUGAGUUCUCAGACCUACCUAUCUCAGAUGCUGUUUCAUCUCAUUGAGUGGAACAGUACCCAGUAGACAGCCGGAUAAGCACUACGAAAACUUCUGAUUGAUAAUGGAAUUGGCUCUGCAAUAGUCAGACAAUGACCUGAAUUUCUGAGAUUCCCAAAAUAUUUUUCUGGGAACAACAUCGCAGCUCUUUGUUCAAAACACCAGGAACCUGGACAACUCAUAGCCAAGACCCUCCACAAGUAACAAUGUGUCCAGAAUUGGUGAGUUCUUGGCCUCACUGACUUCAAAAAUGAAGCCUCGGACCCACGUGGUAUGGAGUAACCCAUUACUCCUGGAGCAGCUGCAUACAUGAGGUUCAGGGGGUGAUUCAGCAUGGUCGACUCAUGGAGUGGCAUCUGGGCUGUCUGCUGUCCGGUUGCUCUGGCUGGGUGAGUGAGAGUUCAUAUGAUUCUCAGGGGCGUGUUAAGCUCAUGAACAUUUGAUUGCAGUAAUUACCUGGGAACCCCCCUGACUAAUUUGCACACCAACAUAGAGUGAGGGAGACCUUAUUUCUAGGGAGUGAUAAAUGGCAACUACUUAAUCGUUUGGAGAAAAGGUGGUGUAGUUUCCAUUUGGCCUGGUUCCCAGUCUGUAUAAUCAUCAGUGCAUUCCAAAACAGCAUCAGUAAUAACAUUCUGUAGAUAGCUAGACCCCACUCCAUUGAUAUUUCUUAUAGGCAUUAUUUCUUAUGUAUAUUCUCAGGGGAAGGCUAGUAUAGUAUUCCUAAUCUAUUUUUCCCGUUAUAGAAAAUUAGAUAUAUGAAAGCAAUGGGAAAUGUUCAAAGUCAC